GUGGGGAAUUUUGGACAAUGGGCGCAAGCCUGAUCCAGCAAUGCCGCGUGCAGGAAGAAGGCCUUCGGGUUGUAAACUGCUUUUGUACGGAACGAAACAGUCCGGGUUAAUACCCUGGGCUAAUGACGGUACCGUAAGAAUAAGCACCGGCUAACUACGUGCCAGCAGCCGCGGUAAUACGUAGGGUGCAAGCGUUAAUCGGAAUUACUGGGCGUAAAGCGUGCGCAGGCGGUUUUGUAAGACAGGCGUGAAAUCCCCGGGCUCAACCUGGGAAUUGCGCUUGUGACUGCAAGGCUGGAGUGCGGCAGAGGGGGAUGGAAUUCCGCGUGUAGCAGUGAAAUGCGUAGAUAUGCGGAGGAACACCGAUGGCGAAGGCAAUCCCCUGGGCCUGCACUGACGCUCAUGCACGAAAGCGUGGGGAGCAAACAGGAUUAGAAACCCGGGUAGUCC
rnacentral:rRNA from 1 species